rnacentral:rRNA from 1 species
GAUGAACGCUGGCGGCGUGCCUAAUACAUGCAAGUCGAGCGAACAGACGAGGCUUUUGCUCGUCUGACGUUAGGGGCGGGCGGGUGAGUAACACGUGUAUACCCUCCCUAUAAGGCUGAGAUCACUACGGGAAACCGGCGCUAACACCGGAUAAUCUCUUGAACCGCGUGGUUCAUUAGUCAAAUACGGUUUUGCUGUCACUUCUCGAUGGAUACCCGCUGGAUUGGCUAGUUGGUAAGGUAACGGCUUACCAAGGCAACGAUGCGUAGGCGACCUGAGAGGGUGAUCGGCCACACGGGAGCUUGGACACGGUCCAGGGUCCUACGGGAGGGCGCAGUAGGGAAUCUGACGCAAUGGUCGAAAGCCUGACGGAGCAACGCCGCGUGUGUGAUGAAGGUCUUCGGAGCGUAAAGCCCUGUUAUUAGGGAUGAACAGAUGUAUAAUGAAACGUGGACGUCUUGACGGUAACUAAUCAAAAAGCAACGGCUAACUACGUG